rnacentral:rRNA from 1 species
CCUACGGGCGGCAGCAGUAGGGAAUUUUGCGCAAUGGGCGAAAGCCUGACGCAGCAACACCGCGUGAAUGUUAAGCCCUUCGGGGUGUAAAGUUCUGUCAAUAGGGACGAAUUUUGACUGUACCUAUAAAGGACGCACCGUCUAACUACGUGCCAGCAGCCGCGGUAAUACGUAGGGGGCAAGCUUUCUCCGGAUUCAUUGGGUGUAAAGGGAGCGGAGACGGCGGGACCAGUCGGGAGUGAAAGGCCGGGGGCCAACCCCGGGACUGCUCUGGAAACUGCCUGGCGGGAGUACAGGAGGGUAAGUGGAAUUCCUAGUGUAGCGGUGAAAUGCGUAGAUAUUAGGAGGAACACCAGUGGCGAAGGCGGCUUACUGGACUGUAACUGACGUUGAGGCUCGAAAGCGUGGGGAGCAAACAGGAUGAGAUACCCCAGUAGUC